UGUGAAUACAAGAAACAAUGAUGAUUUGAGAAAAAUGUAAAAGUUAAAAAGCAGAGUGUCCAGAAGAAAUGCAAUAAUGUAGCUGUGCUGAUUAGUGACCUUCGAAAAUUCAGUCUAAGAGAUCAUUUUGGUUUAGUAGAACAAAUAAUAUGGCUGUUUAAAAUAACGUCUGAUUCACCAAAUUAACCAUUGCAAUUAUGCGUCAGUUAUAUUAAAUAUUGAAAGUUUGAUAACCUGUAAUUAUGUAAUGAUUGAAUCAGAGUUUUUGAUGAUUUGGGGACACUGGGCUGUCGGAUCUUUGAACCAUAGAAAGCGAAGCAUGUCACGAUCUUCCUCCUUGAUUCCUACCAUCAACAAAUCCUUUUCCAUAUCGGCAGUAAGUCCCACUUGGAUUAAUUUAAACUCGGCUGGCAUGUCGAUGGUACAUAAGUGGAGUGUGUUUAGUUCCAAUCUCGAGACAAUCAUU